rnacentral:rRNA from 1 species
GAUGAACGCUGGCGGCGUGCCUAAUACAUGCAAGUCGAGCGAACAGACGAGGAGCUUGCUCCUCUGACGUUAGCGGCGGACGGGUGAGUAACACGUGGAUAACCUACCUAUAAGACUGGGAUAACUUCGGGAAACCGGAGCUAAUACCGGAUAAUAUAUUGAACCGCAUGGUUCAAUAGUGAAAGACGGUUUUGCUGUCACUUAUAGAUGGAUCCGCGCCGCAUUAGCUAGUUGGUAAGGUAACGGCUUACCAAGGCAACGAUGCGUAGCCGACCUGAGAGGGUGAUCGGCCACACUGGAACUGAGACACGGUCCAGACUCCUACGGGAGGCAGCAGUAGAGAAUCUUCCGCAAUGGGCGAAAGCCUGACGGAGCAACGCCGCGUGAGUGAUGAAGGUCUUCGGAUCGUAAAACUCUGUUAUUAGGGAAGAACAAAUGUGUAAGUAACUAUGCACGUCUUGACGGUACCUAAUCAGAAGGCCACGGCUAACUACGUG